rnacentral:sRNA from 1 species
ACUCGUGAUCCAUUUUGCAGAAGAGAAACGAGUGAAACUAAAAAUCUACAAAUGAACUCCGAACUUGCACUUGCACUGAAUAAUGAAAAUUAGAACUGACAGUCAGAAAACUCAGUCGCUAUACAGACACGCAAGAUUUAGCGCCAUUUUGUUAGACAGAGGGCUAUAUAUAAAUUUUUCGCCGGCAUGUCACUGGAAAAUUUCUUUAAAUGUGUGCAAGGACGACCGAUUUCGAUAUCGGCCUUGAGGUUAUGUUUCAAAAUAUCUUAAUUUGUAUUUGCAUCGACGCAAAUAGAUUAAAUAUAGUGUAAUUAUAGGUCAUCCAUUUUCAGAAAAAUGCAUUUAUGCACAUGAAGUAGACCUCAUGUCUGUCAAUACACAUGUGAGGUAUUUUAAAGGAAAACUAACCAUGCCAUAUCAUAUUGUGAAAAAUUGCGAAUACUAUUGAACUCUAAGAUACAUACUAUUUGGUGGUUACUGAAGAAGGAAGAGCCAGGAAUUGUUCUUCAUCUACAAAGAAAAGAAUAUUUUAUACAUUCUUUAUUCAAAAUGGCCACUAUGCAUAGGAAAGGAAAAAAUAUACAUAUCAUUUUAUUUAUCUUACAACUCAUAUUUAUUUUUUUGAAAUAUAUAAUAUCAAUAGAUGUAUGAAUGUAUGAACCUUAACUGAACUUCAAAUAAUAAUAAUUUAUAGACU